GUGAGCACACAACAAUGAACGCCAUCGCGUCAAACGGGAUUAGUUUAGAGGAGAAGGAACAUGUUGCUGCCUUAUUUCUUCACCUUCCUGGGUUAGCUGGCGGGAAGGUGACGUGGAUACCUGCUUGGAGUUGCUCCCAAGAGGCCUUUUGCUGGGACAGAAAGAGGAAUAAUAACUGCAGGCAAAGCUACCACCCAAUUGGUUGGCCCUGUUGUAUGACAGCAACCUACUGCUGAUUGAAGCAGAUGUUUAAAGGAGGAAACGAUGAGUUCAGUUCCUACUUAAGCCCAAUUCCCAACAGAACCAUGGAAGCAAUGCUUUGAAAGGAGUAAUCAUCCUCAUGAUACAAGAAUUUUUCCCAUAGAUGAUGUAUUUUUGAACUGAUUUCAACUUUUUUUUUCCCCACUAAUCUUGCAAAAUGCUUCCUUUUGAUGGAAGGCAUUAAAACAUUGAUCUUUUGGUGGAUAUGGGCAAGUCUGGCUGGAUGUUUCCGAGAGAUACAUUCUCUAUAUAAUAACAUUAAUGGAGAUUUCAUUCUAGGAUAAAUUUAUUUAGUGUGACAAUAUCGAUGUACUCUAAUUGACUGCAGAAACAUAAUAUAGGAAAACUCUUGCCCACUCUAUGUACGAAGCCUGCUAUAGUAAACCAAGUACUAUUUCUGCAGACAUGUUAUGGAAUCAUUGGCAGUUAAGUCACAUAUUUAGCUUUUGCUUUUAUAUUCUCUGUUAUGAUAGUGUUUGCAUCAGCAUUUUGUGCUACAGAAGUUCUAUAAAUAAUUCAUGCCUUUAUU
rnacentral:lncRNA from 7 species